AAGGCAGCAGGCGCGUAAAUUACCCAAUCCUGACACAGGCAGGUAGUGACAAAAAAUAACAAUGCCGGGCUUUUUCAAGUCUGGCAAUUGGAAUGAGAACAAUUUAAAUCCCUUAUCGAGGAUCAAUUGGAGGGCAAGUCUGGUGCCAGCAGCCGCGGUAAUUCCAGCUCCAAUAGCGUAUAUUAAAGUUGUUGCAGUUCAAAAGCUCGUAGUUGGAUUUCUGGUGGGGCUGUCGGCCUGGCUCCGAAAGGGGUCGUGGUUAGUACACGCCUGGCCAUCCUCGGGGGAAGCUUUGCUGGCAUUAAGUUGUCGGCGGAGUGACACUCGUCGUUUACUGUGAACAAAUUAGAGUGUUCAAAGCAGGCUUAGGCCGUUGAAUACAUUAGCAUGGAAUAAUGAGAUAGGACUUUGGUGGUCUAUUUUGUUGGUUUGCACGCCGAAAUAAUGAUUAAUAGGGGCGGUUGGGGGUAUUCGUAUUCAAUUGUCAGAGGUGAAAUUCUUGGAUUUAUGGAAGACGAACUACUGCGAAAGCAUUUACCAAGGAUGUUUUCAUUAAUCAAGAACGAAAGUUAGGGGAUCGAAGAAGAUUAGAUACCUUCGUAGUCUUUACCAUAAACUAUGCCGACUAGGGAUUGGCGGUCGCUU
rnacentral:rRNA from 1 species